GCCCCAGUAGCCCAACGGCAGAGGCGAAGGACUUAAAAUCCUUGAGUUGCGAGUUCGACUCUCGCCUGGGGCA
rnacentral:tRNA from 1 species